rnacentral:tRNA from 1 species
CGGAGGGUAGGCCAGUGGUUAAGCCACCAGUUUUGGGAACUGGACAUCAGGGGUUCAAGUCCCCUCCCUCCGA